rnacentral:rRNA from 1 species
UAGGGAAUCUUCGGCAAUGGGGGCAACCCUGACCGAGCAACGCCGCGUGAGUGAAGAAGGUUCUCGGAUCGUAAAGCUCUGUUGUAAGAGAAGAACGUGUGUGAGAGUGGAAAGUUCACACAGUGACGGUAACUUACCAGAAAGGGACGGCUAACUACGUGCCAGCAGCCGCGGUAAUACGUAGGUCCCGAGCGUUGUCCGGAUUUAUUGGGCGUAAAGCGAGCGCAGGCGGUUUAAUAAGUCUGAAGUUAAAGGCAGUGGCUUAACCAUUGUGCGAUUUGGAAACUGUUAAACUUGAGUGCAGAAGGGGAGAGUGGAAGUCAAUGUGUAGCGGUGAAAUGCGUAGAUAUAUGGAGGAACAACGGUGGCGAAAGCGGCUCUCUGGUCUGUAACUGACGCUGAGGCUCGAAAGCGAGGGGAGCAAACAGG